AAGAGCUCAUCAUUGGAAUCUGGCGGUGUUGCACCGUCCGAGUUGUAGAUGAGGAGUGGUUCAUCUGGACUGCAUGGCGUCCAAGUACAAUAGGCCGUCAGUGGGACAUCAUAGAGGGUGACAAUCCCGUCCUUGAUGCCAAUGUGCAAGUCCAUUACGAUGACCAUCUCAGAGAGUCGAGCAGUUUGGGAUUUGCUGCUUAAACAUGGGAGGUAGAUUCCUUCUAAAGCUAAAUACAGGCAAGAGACCGAUAGAGAACAAGUACCGCAAGGGAAAGAUGAAAUAGCACUCUGUGAAGGGAGUCAAAAGGCGUGAAAUUGUUGCGAGAGAAGCGAUUCAAGUCAGCGUAGCUAGGCCCAUUAAGCCUCUUUGCGCUUUGGACUAGCUUUGCCAGCGGUCUUGUCCUUAGAGACUUGACUUGUAUGUCCAGCCUGGUAUGCACAGGUAGCCCUCCGGGGUCAGUGACAUGGCUGGUGGAAUGGCUUGCAAUCGACCCGUCUUGAAACACGGACCAAGGAGUCUAACAUGUAUGCGAGUAUAAGGGUGGCAAACCCGUAUGCGCAAUGAAAGUGAUUUUCGGUGAUUGAGAAUGGCCUGAUGACCAGACAAGCAAUAUAUGUCCCUCGUACGGCCAUUGCCCAAGUUCCGUGGUAGAUCCCACGAACAUGGAGUUGGAGCAUACAUGCUAGGACCCGAAAGAUGGUGAACUAUGCCUGGACAAAGCGAAGCCAAAGGAAACUCUGGUGGAGGCUUGUAGCGAUUCUGACGUGCAAAUCGAUCGUCUGAUCUGGGUAUA
rnacentral:rRNA from 1 species